AUUCUAGAGCGCACGCUAGUUCGUUUGUAGCUGCGUUCACAAGUUUUGUCCAAGCUGCUGAAAACUUUGAUCAUUCUGAAGCGAGGCCUGAGCGUUCGAUCCAGAUAUCUAGACCGAUGUAUGAAAUCUCUGCAUUGGUCCUGUCUAUCUAGUUGCUGACAUGUGUGACCUGUGACAAAGACUUUUGGGUUGACCUGACUGGCAAAGUUUAUCAAACGCUACGGGUAUGUUUAUACAGAUUUAUCAUGGAGACGGGAAGACUUGCCUAGUAAACUCCUUUUGCAGAACAAUUGUUCUACUAGAGCAUAUCAAGAAAUGCUGCGGUUAUGAUUCAGAAGGUGAGUGGAUUGUUUGUAGCUGGAAUUUCGUAGCAACGCAUACUUCAAAUGAGGUGCGAUUUUCUGCAGCUGCAUGACUUCGCGCGUGCAUGUUGUCAAUGAUGCCAACAGGAUGUGGCAUCAAAAUUCGUGUGACACGUUUGUUUCUUUGUUCUAGUUGCCAUCGAUUUAGCAGAUGAAACGGGACAGGCAAAAAACCUACCCAGUCAUCUAAUCGACAGUAUGUUACAAUUACUAAGUGUAUACAGAGUAUCCACAUAUUCUGAUAUUCGAUCAUACUUCUGACAGAAGACUGUGACGGUCAGAUCACAUACACACGGAUGGCCACUAGUUAUCCCACCAGCCGAUCUCAGGGUCAAGCGUCUAGCCGACUUGAUUCCGGUCACGGUCACCAUCAAGGAAAGAGAGGCCACUCAGCAAAAAGCCACGACAAGUCUGCAACUCUGUCAGAGAGGCAGGACUCUCGACAAAGCAAUGCGAGUACUGCAGCUCAUUCCUACUCUACUGCCAAUUAUUCCCAGCACUCGGCUGUCAGUGGUAGGCAUCGUGUUGUCAAGAAGUCAGGAGCUGAUUACUAGAGAAUUUGGCAUACUAAACUGUAAGCUUUACAAUUUCUCUAUCAAUAGUCAAUCCUAGGACAAUCGGUUAGCCUACGAACUUCUAGCAAGCCAGAUGAAGAAAAUUUAACAAAUCUGAGGUGUCAGCUCUAGAGAAAGGCCUGGAUAUUUAUAUUUUGUUUCUAAAGAUCUGAAUUUUUACGCCAGUUCUCGUUCACUCCUACACAUACGUACACAAUAAUAUUAUUAAUUAAAUUAUUCUA